CGCGCCUAACACAUGCAAGUCGAACGGAGAUCAUUUGGUAGAAGUUUUCGGAUGGACACCGGGUGAUCUUAGUGGCGAACGGGUGAGUAACGCGUGAGCAAUCUGCCUCAGAGUGGGGGACAACAGUUGGAAACGACUGCUAAUACCGCAUAAGCCCACAGCACCGCAUGGUGCAGGGGGAAAAGAUUUAUUGCUUUGAGAUGAGCUCGCGUCCAAUUAGCUAGUUGGUGAGGUAACGGCCCACCAAGGCGACGAUUGGUAGCCGGACUGAGAGGUUGAACGGCCACAUUGGGACUGAGAUACGGCCCAGACUCCUACGGGAGGCAGCAGUGGGGAAUAUUGCACAAUGGGGGGAACCCUGAUGCAGCGACGCCGCGUGGAGGAAGAAGGUCUUCGGAUUGUAAACUCCUGUUGUUAGGGACGAUAAUGACGGUACCUAACAAGGAAGCACCGGCUAACUACGUGCCAGCAGCCGCGGUAA
rnacentral:rRNA from 1 species